CACCGCGGUUAUACGAGGGGCUCAAAUUGAUAUUGUACGGCGUAAAGAGUGAUUAGAAAAAUGAAUAGACUAAAGCCGAACACCCACUGAGCUGUCAUACGCUACUGAGCGAAAUGAAGCCCCGCAACGAAAGUAGCUUUAAUAACUUUGAAUUCACGGAAGUUAGGGAA
rnacentral:rRNA from 1 species